GAAGGCUGGCGAAUGGACGGGCGUCUCGCCAACCCGGUCAGAUCCGGAAGGAAGCAGCCGUAACGAGUUUUUGCCCGGGUUGUUUGUCCAGUCUUCCAC
rnacentral:SRP_RNA from 1 species